rnacentral:rRNA from 1 species
GUAGUUGAAUUUCUGGUCGGAUCUGGGGAGCCUUAUGGGCAAAACCAGAGUUUCUAGAUCAUCCUCCUGGGAACCAUAUGCGAGUCUAACCGCUCGAUAUGGGAAACGGGAAUUUUACUUUGAAAAAAUUAGAGUGUUUCAGGCAGGCUUAAGCCCGAAUACAUUAGCAUGGAAUAAUGGAAUAGGACUGAAUCCAUUUUGUUGGUUAUUGGAUUUAGUAAUGAUUAAUAGGGACAGUUGGGGGCAUUAGUAUUUAAUUGUCAGAGGUGAAAUUCUUGGAUUUAUUAAAGACUAACUAAUGCGAAAGCAUUUGCCAAGGAUGUUUUCAUUAAUCAAGAACGAAAGUUAGGGGAUCAAAG